AUUGAACGCUGGCGGCAUGCUUUACACAUGCAAGUCGAACAGUAACAGGGAGCUUGCUCCGCUGACGAGUGGCGAACGGGUGAGUAAUGCGUCGGAACGUGCCGAGUAGUGGGGGAUAACGCAUCGAAAGGUGUGCUAAUACCGCAUACGACCUACGGGUGAAAGGGGGGGAUUGCAAGACCUCUCGCUAUUGGAGCGGCCGAUAUCAGAUUAGGUAGUUGGUGGGGUAAAGGCCUACCAAGCCUGCGAUCUGUAGUUGGUCUGAGAGGACGACCAGCCACACUGGGACUGAGACACGGCCCAGACUCCUACGGGAGGCAGCAGUGGGGAAUUUUGGACAAUGGGCGCAAGCCUGAUCCAGCAAUGCCGCGUGCAGGAAGAAGGCCUUCGGGUUGUAAAGCACUUUCAGCGAGGAGGAAGGGGUGAGUGUUAAUAGUACUCAUCUUUGACGUUACUCGCAGAAGAAGCACCGGCUAACUCUGUGCCAGCAGCCGCUGUAACAC
rnacentral:rRNA from 1 species